rnacentral:rRNA from 1 species
AUUGAACGCUGGCGGCAUGCUUUACACAUGCCAGUCGAACGGUAACAGGGUGCUUGCACCGCUGACGAGUGGCGAACGGGUGAGUAAUGCAUCGGAAUGUACCGUGUAAUGGGGGAUAGCUCGGCGAAAGCCGGAUUAAUACCGCAUACGCCCUGAGGGGGAAAGUGGGGGACCGAAAGGCCUCACGUUAUACGAGCAGCCGAUGUCUGAUUAGCUAGUUGGUGAGGUAAAGGCUCACCAAGGCGUCGAUCAGUAGCGGGUCUGAGAGGAUGAUCCGCCACACUGGGACUGAGACACGGCCCAGACUCCUACGGGAGGCAGCAGUGGGGAAUUUUGGACAAUGGGCGCAAGCCUGAUCCAGCCAUGCCGCGUGUCUGAAGAAGGCCUUCGGGUUGUAAAGGACUUUUGUCCGGGAGCAAAUCCUAGUGGUUAAUAACCGCUGGGUCUGAGAGUACCGGAAGAAUAAGCACCGGCUAACUACGUG